GUCCACGCCCUAACGGUGGGUACUAGGUGUAGGGCUCGUAAGGGUUCUGUGCCGAAGGGAACCAUUAAGUACCCCGCCUGGGAAGUACGGCCGCAAGGUUGAAACUCAAAGGAAUUGACGGGGGCCCGCACAAGCGGUGGAGCAUGUGGUUUAAUUCGACGCAACGCGAAGAACCUUACCUGGGCUUGACAUGUUAGUAGUAAGAACCCGAAAGGGGGAUGAUUCCGAGCAAUCGGGAAGCUAACACAGGUGCUGCAUGGCUGUCGU
rnacentral:rRNA from 1 species